rnacentral:rRNA from 1 species
CCCUUAGAUGUUCUGGGCCGCACGCGCGCUACACUGACGAAUGCAACGAGCUUAUAACCUUGGCCGAAAGGUCUGGGUAAUCUCCAAAUUUCGUCGUGAUGGGGAUAGAUUAUUGCAAUUAUUAAUCUUCAACGAGGAAUGCCUAGUAAGCGCAAGUCAUCAGCUUGCGUUGAUUACGUCCCUGCCCUUUGUACACACCGCCCGUCGCUGCCCGGAACUGAGCCAUUUCGAGAAAAAUGGGGACAGACUGCUUGUGGGUGCGCAAGCACUUCUUGCAGAUUGAAACCAUCUUGAUCGGUAUGGCUUGAACCGGGCAAAAGUCGUANCA